rnacentral:rRNA from 1 species
AUGGUUUGGCUUCUAGACGAUGUCUACGACGUGCAACACCGGGCCUACAUGAUGCGCGAGAAGGAUAAGAAGCUUGAACCUCUGAAGAUUCGGUAUCACGGGGUCUUUGGUCUUGCCAUGCCUUACGAUGAGCGGUACACACCGUACAUCAAGCAGGCAGGACUACUCCCGUGGAUUCUGUUGGUCAGCCGGUCCACGCCGAAUCUGAACGCUCCACUGGUGUCCGCUCUUGUUGAUCGGUGGAGGCCAGAGACCCACAGUUUCCAUCUUCGGACCGGGGAGAUGACCGUGACGCUCGAGGAUGUCUCGUUGAUCAUCGGUCUUGCUAUCGACGGGAGGCCUCUAUGUAUGAGCACCGAUUUUGAUGGGUGGCGCGAGCAGAUGAUUGCUCUUAUCGGUAUGGCUCCUACCGAGGCUGAGGAUGAUGUAGAGGAGGGAGAAGAGAAGAAGAAGAGGGAAAGGAAGGCAGCCGGAGCUGCUUUCACGUGGAUUCAAAAUAACUUUGCGACGUGCCCUCCAGAUGCAACUGAUGAUGUGAUCCAGACACAUGCUCGUGUGUAUAUGUGGUACAUUGUGUCGAGGACUUUGUUUCCUGACUCCACUGGCAAGAACGCUCCAUGGAUGUGGCUGAAGGCGUUGACCGUCUUCGAUAGCAAAUGGAGCUGGGGUUCAGCGACUCUUGCGUACUUGUACCGACAGCUGAAUGAUGCGUGUUGCAGGAUCACACCUAGUGCAGGCAUUGGUGGUAAUCUGCUUCUACUUUCUGUAUGA